CCUACGGGAGGCAGCAGUGGGGAAUAUUGGGCAAUGGGCGAAAGCCUGACCCAGCAACGCCGCGUGAAGGAAGAAGGCUUUCGGGUUGUAAACUUCUUUUGACAGGGAAGUGCAGAAGACGGUACCUGUCGAAUAAGCCACGGCUAACUACGUGCCAGCAGCUGCGGUAAUACGGAGGUGGCAAGCGUUGUCCGGAUUUACUGGGUGUAAAGGGAGUGUAGCAGGGAUGGUAAGACAGAUGUGAAAUCUGGGGGAGCAACCCUCGGACUGAAGUGGAAACUGUUGGUGUUGAGUGCAGGAGAGGGAGGCGGAAUUCGGGGUGGAGAGGUGAAAGGCUUAGAUAUCAGGAAGAACUACGAUUGCGAAGGCAGAUGACGGAAGUGCAACUGACGCUGAAGCUCGAAGGGGCGGGUAUCGAACAGGAUGAGAGACCCGUGUAGUC
rnacentral:rRNA from 1 species